GAUGAACGCUAGCUACAGGCUUAACACAUGCAAGUCGCGGGGCAGCAUGGGGGUUGCUUGCACUCCCCGAUGGCGACCGGCGCACGGGUGAGUAACGCGUAUUCAACCUGCCCUUCACCACGGGAUAACCCGGCGAAAGUCGGACUAAUACCGUAUGUUGUCCAUUGACGGCAUCCGAUUUGGACGAAAGGCUUGGCGGUGAGGGAUGGGGAUGCGUCCGAUUAGCCAGACGGCGGGGUAACGGCCCACCGUGGCUACGAUCGGUAGGGGUUCUGAGAGGAAGGUCCCCCACACUGGAACUGAGACACGGUCCAGACUCCUACGGGAGGCAGCAGUGAGGAAUAUUGGUCAAUGGGCGUAAGCCUGAACCAGCCAAGUAGCGUGCAGGAUGACGGCCCUAUGGGUUGUAAACUGCUUUUAUGCGGGGAUAAAGUGGCCCACGUGUGGGCUUUUGCAGGUACCGCAUGAAUAAGGACCGGCUAAUUCCGUG
rnacentral:rRNA from 1 species